GCAACACUGACUCCUCCUAGACCCCUGUUAGUUCGUCCCCCUCCCUGCUAAUCUAACCUGACGUCAUUCUUUCCAUGACGUAAGAUUUUUUUUUCUCCUCUUCUUCGCCUUUAAUGCCUGUGGUCUUUGUGAUGAGGAGAGUUGUGUGAAAUCCCAUCAAGUGCAUUUGCAUGGAGAUGAACCCCACAAUUGUUGGUAUAGUGAAGCAAUGGGAAAGUUUAAAGGUCAGACGGGUGGAGCGGCCACAGCUGAGAGCGGUUUACAUCAGCCAGCUUUAAAAGCCCAGCAGACGCACCACCACGUCGCCCGAUCAACUCGUCUGGUUCCACCGACCUGUUCUCUGCUUGCCCCUUGUCGGAUUCCACGCCUGCCUCCUUCCGAGCUCCCUCGCCUCACGCCGGCUCAGCCACCCUGAACAGAGCACGCUACUACAACACUUCGUCCUUGG